rnacentral:tRNA from 1 species
GGUUAUGUAGCUCAGUUGGUUAGAGCACCGCACUCAUAAUGCGGGGGUCACAAGUUCAAGUCUCGUCAUAGCCACCA